rnacentral:rRNA from 1 species
UACGAAGGGGGCUAGCGUUGCUCGGAAUCACUGGGCGUAAAGCGCACGCAGGCGGAUCGUUAAGUCAGGGGUGAAAUGCCGAGGCUCAACCUCGGAACUGCCUUUGAUACUGGCGAUCUUAGAGUCCGGGAGAGGUGAGUGGAACUCCGAGUGUAGAGGUGAAAUUCGUAGAUAUUCGGAAGAACACCAGUGGCGGAGGCGGCUCACUGGCCCGGUACUGACGCUCAGGUGCGAAAGCGUGGGGAGCAAACAGG